AGAGUUUGAUCCUGGCUCAGAUUGAACGCUGGCGGCAUGCCUUACACAUGCAAGUCGAACGGUAACAGGUCUUCGGAUGCUGACGAGUGGCGAACGGGUGAGUAAUACAUCGGAACGUGCCCGAGAGUGGGGGAUAACGAAGCGAAAGCUUUGCUAAUACCGCAUACGAUCUCAGGAUGAAAGCAGGGGACCGCAAGGCCUUGCGCUCACGGAGCGGCCGAUGGCAGAUUAGGUAGUUGGUGGGAUAAAAGCUUACCAAGCCGACGAUCUGUAGCUGGUCUGAGAGGACGACCACCCACACUGGGACUGAGACACGGCCCACACUCCUACGGGAGGCAGCAGUGGGGAAUUUUGGACAAUGGGCGCAAGCCUGAUCCAGCCAUGCCGCGUGCAGGAUGAAGGCCUUCGGGUUGUAAACUGCUUUUGUACGGAACGAAAAGACUCUGGUUAAUACCUGGGGUCCAUGACGGUACCGUAAGAAUAAGCACCGGCUAACUACGUGCCAGCAGCCGCGGUAAUACGUAGGGUGCGAGCGUUAAUCGGAAUUACUGGGCGUAAAGCGUGCGCAGGCGGUUAUAUAAGACAGAUGUGACAUCCCCGGGCUCAACCUGGGAACUGCAUUUGUGACUGUAUAGCUAGAGUACGGCAGAGGGGGAUGGAAUUCCGCGUGUAGCAGUGAAAUGCGUAGAUAUGCGGAGGAACACCGAUGGCGAAGGCUAUCCCCUGGGCCUGUACUGACGCUCAUGCACGAGAGCGUGGAGAGCAAACAAGAUUAGAUACCCCUGUAGUCCACGCCCUAAACGAUGUCAAGCUGGUUUGUUGGGUCUUCACUGACUCAGUAACGAAGCUAACGCGUGAGUCGACCGCCUAGAAGAGUACGGCCGCAAGAUAGAUCUUCAAGGUAGUGACGGCACCGGACAUCGAGAGAAAUAGAUGUAUUUAGUCCGAUGCCAGCGCCGAAACA
rnacentral:rRNA from 1 species